ACUGAACGCUGGCGGCAUGCCUUACACAUGCAAGUCGAACGGUAACAGGCCGCAAGGUGCUGACGAGUGGCGAACGGGUGAGUAAUGCAUCGGAACGUGCCCAGUCGUGGGGGAUAACUGCUCGAAAGAGCAGCUAAUACCGCAUACGACCUGAGGGUGAAAGCGGGGGACCGUAAGGCCUCGCGCGAUUGGAGCGGCCGAUGUCAGAUUAGCUAGUUGGUGGGGUAAAGGCCUACCAAGGCAACGAUCUGUAGUUGGUCUGAGAGGACGACCAGCCACACUGGGACUGAGACACGGGCCAGACGCCUACGGGAGGCAGCAGUGGGGAAUUUUGGACAAUGGGCGCAAGCCUGAUCCAGCAAUGCCGCGUGCAGGAAGAAGGCCUUCGGGUUGUAAACUGCUUUUGUCAGGGAAGAAAUCUUCUGGGCUAAUACCCCGGGAGGAUGACGGUACCUGAAGAAUAAGCACCGGCUAACUACGUGCCAGCAGCCGCCGCCGUAA
rnacentral:rRNA from 1 species